rnacentral:rRNA from 1 species
ACUAGGUAACACCUACGGGAGGCUGCAGUAGGGAAUUUUCGUCAAUGGGCGCAAGCCUGAACGAGCAAUGCCGCGUGAGCGAAGAAGGUCUUCGGAUCGUAAAGCUCUGUUGAGAGGGAAAAAGGGUCACCAGAGGAAAUGCUGGUGAAGUGAUAUUACCUUUCGAGGAAGUCACGGCUAACUACGUGCCAGCAGCCGCGGUAAUACGUAGGUGGCGAGCGUUAUCCGGAAUGAUUGGGCGUAAAGGGUGCGUAGGCGGCCUGCUAAGUCUGGAGUGAAAGGUACCGGCUCAACCGGUACAGGCUCUGGAAACUGGCGGGCUAGAGAGCAGGAGAGGGCGGCGGAACUCCAUGUGUAGCGGUAAAAUGCGUAGAGAUAUGGAAGAACACCAGUGGCGAAGGCGGCCGCCUGGCCUGUUGACUGACGCUCAGGCACGAAAGCGUGGGGAGCAAAUAGGAUUAGAUACCCUAGUAGUCCACGCCGUAAACGAUGAGGACCAAGUGUUGCAUGAAAUGCGUGCUGCAGUUAACGCAGUGAGUCCUCCGCCUGGGGAGUAUGCACGCAAGUGUGAAACUUAAAUGAAUUGGCGGGG